UACGUAGGGGCAAGCGUUGUCCGGAAUCAUUGGGCGUAAAGCGCGUGUAGGCGGCUGGCUAAGUCCGCUCUGAAAGCCCGGGGCUCAACCCCGGGAGGCGGGUGGAUACUGGUCAGCUCGAGUCCGGAAGAGGAGUGUGGAAUUCCUGGUGUAGCGGUGAAAUGCGCAGAUAUCAGGAGGAACACCAAUGGCGAAGGCAGCCCCCUGGGCCAAUACUGACGCUCAUGCACGAAAGCGUGGGGAGCAAACAGG
rnacentral:rRNA from 1 species